AGUAAAAGUCGUAACAAGGUCUCCGUUGGUGAACCAGCGGAGGGAUCAUUACUGAGUUUACGCUCUACAACCCUUUGUGAACAUACCUACAACUGUUGCUUCGGCGGGUAGGGUCUCCGCGACCCUCCCGGCCUCCCGCCUCCGGGCGGGUCGGCGCCCGCCGGAGGAUAACCAAACUCUGAUUUAACGACGUUUCUUCUGAGUGGUACAAGCAAAUAAUCAAAACUUUUAACAACGGAUCUCUUGGUUCUGGCAUCGAUGAAGAACGCAGCGAAAUGCGAUAAGUAAUGUGAAUUGCAGAAUUCAGUGAAUCAUCGAAUCUUUGAACGCACAUUGCGCCCGCCAGCAUUCUGGCGGGCAUGCCUGUUCGAGCGUCAUUUCAACCCUCAAGCUCUGCUUGGUGUUGGGGCCCUACAGCCGAUGUAGGCCCUCAAAGGUAGUGGCGGACCCUCCCGGAGCCUCCUUUGCGUAGUAACUUUACGUCUCGCACUGGGAUCCGGAGGGACUCUUGCCGUAAAACCCCCCAAUUUUCCAAAGGUUGACCUCGGAUCAGGUAGGAAUACCCGCUGAACUUAAGCAUAU
rnacentral:rRNA from 1 species